CCUAGCUAUUCCCAUGACAACAGCAGCCGCCUGUGGCUGUGGCAGGAAGGGGAGGAGUCUGGAGAUGAGGCGUUUCCCCUUACGCACAGACAUGAUCAUCAAGCACUGCUCAUCGCUCACUCUGCAGAAGGAUGGAGAGUAGAAAUUGCCAAAACAGUCCUUAAGUCAAAAGAUCCUGGACUGGGCUUUGAUUUGUUGAAUCAAGCGAGCGUGCGAAGGCUCUUCUGUGGCACUCACCGGUCGUCCCACUCUUUUUCUCGGAGGGAGUUGUAGAGCUGCAGCGUGUGGGUUUUAUGCUGUUCUAGCAGGGCAUCUCUUUGG